CCUGGAUUGACCACCACGAAGCAAGAAUUUUGCUGUUUGCAUUAUAUUUGAUGAUGCUCUCCACUGCCACAUCCAGGCCAUCUAGUGCCCAGAAAAUGUCACAAACAAGCAAGUGGCACCAGGGUCUCAAGGCUCCAUGAUCCUGGAUGGUGGAGUUAUGCUAAGCUGCAGCAUGCAGUGAAUGUUUUCAAGUGGCCUAUAGAUCGAUUAAGGGAGGGAUCUUACAGUGCUUUCCUAAACCAGGACUGCAGAGGAGAUGAUG